CCUCCAGUGAGUCUAAGGCGGCUGUUACUUGCAUAGUAGUGUACUCCGGCUUGCCACUGCCGAGGCAUGGCUGUCUCGAAGGAUCUAAGAGCAGGUUUUUCCUGGGUGAAAUCUGGAAGCGAGGAAUGUGCCGGACAUACCUUAUUUGGACAACAAGUAAGCGCUUAUCAUCCACUCCGAAAAAUGUGGUGAUAACGUUACGAAAGUGGUUCAGCGUCUGCACAGAGUGCUGGGGCCCAACCUUAUCAACAGCGACACUGUUUUCCAAUUACAGAUCGGCUAAUUUGUUCCUUAGACGGAAAUGUGACAUACGGGAGACUCAUCAGCUUUGAGUUGUGUGGUGGGUCAUAAUGCAAGAUUUAAUGCCGCUUGGUGACGAUGCAGGCACAACACUAUGUACAGCAGACACAGACGGAUGAUCACCCUAUCGAAGAUAUGUUCUGCAAAUGGCGAAAUCGAGAUAAUUGACUAUGACAAAGAGCAGACCCUGUCAGCGAGUACCUCGAAAACGGCGAAGCUGAACUAAAGUUCACGUGC